GUCAGCAUGGCAUAGUGGAUGGAGCAUUAGAUUAUGAUUCUGGAGACCAAGGUUCAAAUUCCUGCUUAGCCA